ensembl:snoRNA Gm25125 small nucleolar RNA SNORA42/SNORA80 family
GUAAGUCAUUGGAUUGAUGGCAGGCUCGUCCCCCUGGGCCUCUCAUAGUGUCCCAUGCUAGAGCAAAUUGUGGCUCCUAACCAUGGCCUGGCCUCCAUGCCUGUAGGCGGCUGGCACUGAAGUGGGUCACACAGUG